rnacentral:rRNA from 1 species
GUCGAGCGAGCGGAACUAACAGAUUUACUUCGGUAAUGACGUUAGGAAAGCGAGCGGCGGAUGGGUGAGUAACACGUGGGGAAUCUGCCCCAUAGUCUGGGAUACCACUUGGAAACAGGUGCUAAUACCGGAUAAGAAAGCAGAUCGCAUGAUCAGCUUUUAAAAGGCGGCGUAAGCUGUCGCUAUGGGAUGGCCCCGCGGUGCAUUAGCUAGUUGGUAAGGUAAAGGCUUACCAAGGCGAUGAUGCAUAGCCGAGUUGAGAGACUGAUCGGCCACAUUGGGACUGAGACACGGCCCAAACUCCUACGGGAGGCAGCAGUAGGGAAUCUUCCACAAUGGACGCAAGUCUGAUGGAGCAACGCCGCGUGAGUGAAGAAGGUUUUCGGAUCGUAAAGCUCUGUUGUUGGUGAAGAAGGAUAGAGGUAGUAACUGGCCUUUAUUUGACGGUAAUCAACCAGAAAGUCACGGCUAACUACGUGCCAGCAGCCGCGGUAAUACGUAGGUGGCAAGCGUUGUCCGGAUUUAUUGGGCGUAAAGCGAGCGCAGGCGGAAGAAUAAGUCUGAUGUGAAAGCCCUCGGCUUAACCGAGGAACUGCAUCGGAAACUGUCUUUCUUGAGUGCAGAAGAGGAGAGUGGAACUCCAUGUGUAGCGGUGGAAUGCGUAGAUAUAUGGAAGAACACCAGUGGCGAAGGCGGCUCUCUGGUCUGCAACUGACGCUGAGGCUCGAAAGCAUGGGU